UACGGAGGGUGCAAGCAUUAAUCGGAUUUAUUGGGCGUAAAGGGCGCGUAGGCGGAAAGAAAAGUCAGAUGUGAAAUCCCGGGGCUUAACCUCGGACCCGCAUUUGAAACUUUCUUUCUAGAGGAUAGAUGGAGAAAACGGAAUUCCACGUGUAGCGGUGAAAUGCGUAGAUAUGUGGAAGAACACCUGUGGCGAAGGCGGUUUUCUAAUUUAUUCCUGACGCUGAGGCGCGAAAGUAAGGGGAUCAAACAGG
rnacentral:rRNA from 1 species